GAUUGGAUAGUAUAGUGGUUAGUACAAUUCGUUGUGGCCGCGAUGCACAAACGCAUCGGACAAAACACCGAAUAGACCCAGGUUCGAUUCCUGGUCCAGUCA